rnacentral:rRNA from 1 species
GAUGAACGCUGGCGGCGUGCCUAAUACAUGCAAGUCGAGCGAACGGACGAGAAGCUUGCUUCUCUGAUGUUAGCGGCGGACGGGUGAGUAACACGUGGAUAACCUACCUAUAAGACUGGGAUAACUUCGGGAAACCGGCGCUAAUACCGGAUGAUAUUUUGAACCGCAUGGUUCAAAAGUGAAAGACGGUCUUGCUGUCACUUAUAGAUGGAUCCGCGCUGCAUUAGCUAGUUGGUAAGGUAACGGCUUACCAAGGCAACGAUGCAUAGCCGACCUGAGAGGGUGAUAGGCGACACUGGAACUGAGACACGGUCCAGACUCCUACGGGAGGCAGCAGUAGGGAAUCUUCCGCAAUGGGCGAAAGCCUGACGGAGCAACGCCGCGUGAGUGAUGAAGGUCUUCGGAUCGUAAAACUCUGUUAUUAGGGAAGAACAUAUGUGUAAGUAACUGUGCACAUCUUGACGGUACCUAAUCAGAAAGCCACGGCUAACUACGUG